UGAGAAAUUGAUGAGAAUUAAAGCAAUAGUGAUAGAUCAGCCAUAGAAAAGGAAUUCUGAAACAUGAUGCCCACCAACUCUCUCCUCUGUAAGGAUCAUAGAUUCAUAUCCAGAAGCUGAAGCUUGGGAAUUUGGAUAAAAUCACCUGGACCUUCUCCAAGUCUUGCUGCUCCCUAUGGGCCAUUGACCAGGAAUCUGAAGAAAUGGACAUUUUCAGUCACAGUGAUUACCUUGAAUGUCAAGAGCUCCUGACUUCAAGAUUGAGGCAUCAUCUUAAUAAAGGAGGUGAUUUCAAUGACAUCACACUUUUCAGAGUAGAAGAGCACCAUACCCAGAAGGAUCCUGCACUUGAAAGCCUAAAGGAAGCUAUAACCUUGCUGGCUAAGAUAUCUAGAUGUUGUUAAUUGUGCCAGAAUUGCAGACCUGAGGUAGCGAAAUGCCUGGUCAGUAAGCUUUCAAAGUUGGCUUAAUUGAGCUUGACUGAAUGUCAACAUUCCAAGGGAGAAAUAAUGUAUGUAA